CUACCGAAAAGGCAAACCCCGUGAAAACGGGUGGCGCAAAGUCACGGAACCUGAUGUGCCCUUAGCACUGGUUAUAUCAGGCCCGCCGGACUACCGAA
rnacentral:ncRNA from 1 species